rnacentral:tRNA from 1 species
GCCUUCGUAGUGUAGUGGUCAGCACGCUUGGCACGUAUUCAAGAGGACCAUGGUUUGAGUCCCGGUGAGUGCA